AACACAAGUACAGUUGACUAAUUUAAUAAGCAUAUAAGAAAGAAGAAUCUAAAAGCACUAUGGCAUGAAUAUUCAGUGCAGUGAAACUUCUUUAAUAGAAAGAAAUUAACACCAUAAACUUGCCAGACUACACAGAAUCUGUACAAUACCAAGUUAUUUACAUGCUGAAGGUCUGGAAGGUUUUUAUUAGCUAAUCUUUUUAUCUGCAAACAGUAUGUGAACAUAGCAUCCAGUUUUCCUCAAGCUGUGUAAAUAUUGUUGCCGUCUCCACCUGUUUGUAUGGCCUAGUUAGUUAUUACAGCCAUUUGUCAUUCAGGAAAACACAGCAGCAGAUGGUUUUCUGGAACACAGGAUCCUUAACUCACUCUUUGAGAUUGUCACACUCCUCCUCUAGUCUGGCCUUGUCUUUACUGACCACAAGCAACUGUGAUUCUCUCUUCUCCAGUCGACUAGAGAGCUCCUCGAUAAUCUGAUUUUCCACAAAGAUAUUAAGGAGCUGUGAACUGUUUUCAACAUUGAUAAUAGAAGAUGACGGAAUGUUUCUUGAGCACCAUGUUUCCUCCGGCACAGCGCGAGAACUACUUCCCAUCCACGUAGCAUCAACAAAGCUGUAUCAACCUUUCCUGUACGUGACGUCAAGGGCUGCGUCACAAGUGUCUGCAGUACAAUUUAUUUUUUAAAUUAU